GUUAGUGCCAGGGUGACCCUUCUCCUAAAGGGGGUGGGGAAGCAACUGGAGUUGUCUUUGUCGCAAUUAAAAAUGGUUUCACUAUUCCCAAAACAUGUCUGGUCAGAAAGUCAUGCCGAAGUGAAAAGCCGUACGAUGAUUUCUUGCCAGAAAAAAAGCCAAACGGGAACAACCGGAGCUCCGUGCUUGUAAAGAUACUGGAAGCUGACAUUUCCACGAGGCUAAGCUGAAAGGCUCGUGCUGGCAUUCUGUAAAGCUCUUCUCCUGUCAGAAGCGCGGUGGCUGAGGAUGACCCUUCCCACCCAAGCCAUCCUACAGUUCCGUGGUUGUAGCUGUGUUACAUUAGACAUGACUGUGCUUACACAGAGACGUGACUGUGACAGAAGCGCGAGCAGCUUGUGAGCCUCGCAGACAAAAAACAUGAGCUCAGCCAGCCAGGAAAAGCUGUGGUGCAGCUGAUGGAGCUCAGAUAAAUGCAAACAUGCAAUAGAGCCCUUGAAGCAUCAUUUACCAUAAUAUGAGAUAAAGCAGAGAAAGCACAUCCACAAAGCACUGAGGAUGGAAAUGUUACCAUCUAGGCACACUCUUGGCAAGUUAUAUUCCACACUUUCAGGAUUCUGCUGAUGUGUAUAUAUAUGCUGAAGAUGGCAGAGUAAGAAGACACGACUUUCUUCUGGAAUCUGUUUUCUGUGCUCCUAACAGGAGGAAAAAGAAUCUGUUUCAUAUAAUAAUUUUCCCUGUAAGUUGUCAGGCAGUGUGUAAAUAAGGCUUUUUUAUUAUUAUUUUUACAUACAACCAUGCUUGAAAUGUUUUUAUCUAAAAUACCCUAUAAUUUCUAACUCUGGAAGAGCUUCACAGAUAGGAGCCAUACUAUAGUUGAGGACUGUGAGUUAUUACUGAAAGUUAUUUUCUUUCCUCUGAACCUGUGGAUCAUCAAUUUAAUGAAGCAAGCCUGACAUGACCUAGAGCAUCUGAUCUUGCCAGUAUUUCAUGUAAACAAUCUGGAAAGACAUGAGGAUUAAGUAUGGCAGUUUUUAGCAGGAAAAUAAAGGAAUUGCUAUGUUUUCUAGGUUUUUUUAGUACAACUAAUUGUCAUUCUCCAAAUUUUUGUUUUUCCCAGCUUAUACUAUAAGAAUAUUAUAAGAGACUGAAUGGUUAACUGUAGUCUUGGAUUCCAGUUAUAUGUGCACUGAUCCCCUUCAUGUCUUCACAUAGCCAGUGUUAGCUAUUUUUUAGCAGUCACUGCACUAAGUACUGUGGUACUCCAAGAUUCCUCAGUUGAAAUGUUUUCAGCUGACCCCUGCAUGUCUGCCUUUAUGACUACAAAGUGAAAAGAUCUUUUUUAAAGAAAGACUGCCGUUGUUUACAUCUUCCAUGCUGGAAGCAGACCCUGCAGUUCUGAAAAGCGCUGCUGUGAUCCUUUGUUCUUCUGUAAAAUGGGAAAAUGUCUUCCCCAGGUCUCUGGGGAUUUGCUGCUCCUGUGCCUCAGAGGGAUACAUUUUCAUUUACGGAAACGUUCAGAAUUACC
ensembl:lncRNA